rnacentral:lncRNA from 1 species
GGAAGUACGUAUGUGUGUGCAUGGACGGGGGGGAGGUGGUCAUUAUCGGCGGCCGGAAGUACGGAUAGACCCCUGACAAGGCCCAAAUUGUAAUCACUCCAGGGAAGUCCAGUCCUGGGGCUGGCCUAGGACAACAGGCAUGUCUCCCCGCAUCCAUUCAUCUAUACAUACAGACAUACAUAACCCCCCACACACCAGUCCAUUUCCUCUCGCCCUCCCCGCCACCAUACACCGACCCUCCCCC